AACGCUGGCGGCGUGCCUAAUACAUGCAAGUCGAGCGAACGGACGAGAAGCUUGCUUCUCUGAUGUUAGCGGCGGACGGGUGAGUAACACGUGGAUAACCUACCUAUAAGACUGGGAUAACUUCGGGAAACCGGAGCUAAUACCGGAUAAUAUUUUGAACCGCAUGGUUCAAAAGUGAAAGACGGUCUUGCUGUCACUUAUAGAUGGAUCCGCGCUGCAUUAGCUAGUUGGUAAGGUAACGGCUUACCAAGGCAACGAUGCAUAGCCGACCUGAGAGGGUGAUCGGCCACACUGGAACUGAGACACGGUCCAGACUCCUACGGGAGGCAGCAGUAGGGAAUCUUCCGCAAUGGGCGAAAGCCUGACGGAGCAACGCCGCGUGAGUGAUGAAGGUCUUCGGAUCGUAAAACUCUGUUAUUAGGGAAGAACAUAUGUGUAAGUAACUGUGCACAUCUUGACGGUACCUAAUCAGAAAGCCACGGCUAACUACGUGCCAGCAGCCGCGGUAAUACGUAGGUGGCAAGCGUUAUCCGGAAUUAUUGGGCGUAAAGCGCGCGUAGGCGGUUUUUUAAGUCUGAUGUGAAAGCCCACGGCUCAACCGUGGAGGGUCAUUGGAAACUGGAAAACUUGAGUGCAGAAGAGGAAAGUGGAAUUCCAUGUGUAGCGGUGAAAUGCGCAGAGAUAUGGAGGAACACCAGUGGCGAAGGCGACUUUCUGGUCUGUAACUGACGCUGAUGUGCGAAAGCGUGGGGAUCAAACAGGAUUAGAUACCCUGGUAGUCCACGCCGUAAACGAUGAGUGCUAAGUGUUAGGGGGUUUCCGCCCCUUAGUGCUGCAGCUAACGCAUUAAGCACUCCGCCUGGGGAGUACGACCGCAAGGUUGAAACUCAAAGGAAUUGACGGGGACCCGCACAAGCGGUGGAGCAUGU
rnacentral:rRNA from 1 species